rnacentral:rRNA from 1 species
UACGGAAGGCAGCAGUGGGGAAUAUUGCACAAUGGGCGCAAGCCUGAUGCAGCCAUGCCGCGUGUAUGAAGAAGGCCUUCGGGUUGUAAAGUACUUUCAGUCGUGAGGAAGGUGUUAAGGUUAAUAACCUUAGCAAUUGACGUUAGCGACAGAAGAAGCACCGGCUAACUCCGUGCCAGCAGCCGCGGUAAUACGGAGGGUGCGAGCGUUAAUCGGAAUUACUGGGCGUAAGGGCACGCAGGCGGUUAAUUAAGUUGGAUGUGAAAUCCCCGGGCUUAACCUGGGAAUGGCAUUCAAGACUGGUUAGCUAGAGUCUUGUAGAGGGGGUAGAAUUCCAUGUGUAGCGGUGAAAUGCGUAGAGAUGUGGAGGAAUACCGGUGGCGAAGGCGGCCCCUGGGACAAAGACUGACGCUCAUGUGCGAAAGCGUGGGGAGCAAACAGGAUUAGAUACC